rnacentral:rRNA from 1 species
AGCGGCGGACGGGUGAGUAACGCGUGGGUAACCUGCCCUGUACACACGGAUAACAUACCGAAAGGUAUGCUAAUACGAGAUAAUAUGCUUUUAUCGCAUGGUAGAAGUAUCAAAGCUUUUGCGGUACAGGAUGGACCCGCGUCUGAUUAGCUAGUUGGUAAGGUAACGGCUUACCAAGGCGACGAUCAGUAGCCGACCUGAGAGGGUGAUCGGCCACAUUGGAACUGAGACACGGUCCAAACUCCUACGGGAGACAGCAGUGGGGAAUAUUGCACAAUGGGCGAAAGCCUGAUGCAGCAACGCCGCGUGAGCGAUGAAGGCCUUCGGGUCGUAAAGCUCUGUCCUCAAGGAAGAUAAUGACGGUACUUGAGGAGGAAGCCCCGGCUAACUACGUGCCAGCAGCCGCGGUAAUACGUAGGGGGCUAGCGUUAUCCGGAAUUACUGGGCGUAAAGGGUGCGUAGGUGGUUUCUUAAGUCAGAGGUGAAAGGCUACGGCUCAACCGUAGUAAGCCUUUGAAACUGGGAAACUUGAGUGCAGGAGAGGAGAGUGGAAUUCCUAGUGUAGCGGUGAAAUGCGUAGAUAUUAGGAGGAACACCAGUUGCGAAGGCGGCUCUCUGGACUGUAACUGACACUGAGGCACGAAAGCGUGGGGAGCAAACAGGAUUAGAUACCCUGGUAGUCCACGCCGUAAACGAUGAGUACUAGCUGU